ACAUCGGAACGUGCCCGAGACUGGGGGAUAACGAAGCGAAAGCUUUGCUAAUACCGCAUACGAUCUCAGGAUGAAAGCAGGGGACCGCAAGGCCUUGCGCUCACGGAGCGGCCGAUGGCAGAUUAGGUAGUUGGUGGGAUAAAAGCUUACCAAGCCGACGAUCUGUAGCUGGUCUGAGAGGACGACCAGCCACACUGGGACUGAGACACGGCCCAGACUCCUACGGGAGGCAGCAGUGGGGAAUUUUGGACAAUGGGCGCAAGCCUGAUCCAGCCAUGCCGCGUGCAGGAUGAAGGCCUUCGGGUUGUAAACUGCUUUUGUACGGAACGAAAAGACUCUGGUUAAUACCUGGGGUCCAUGACGGUACCGUAAGAAUAAGCACCGGCUAACUACGUGCCAGCAGCCGCGGUAAUACGUAGGGUGCGAGCGUUAAUCGGAAUUACUGGGCGUAAAGCGUGCGCAGGCGGUUAUGUAAGACAGAUGUGAAUCCCCGGGCUCAACCUGGGACUGCAUUUGUGACUGCAUAGCUAGAGUACGGCAGAGGGGGAUGGAAUUCCGCGUGUAGCAGUGAAAUGCGUAGAUAUGCGGAGGACACCGAUGGCG
rnacentral:rRNA from 1 species